rnacentral:rRNA from 1 species
UACGAAGGGGGGCUAGCGUUGUUCGGAAUCACUGGGCGUAAAGCGCACGUAGGCGGAUGUGCCAGUCAGGGGUGAAAUCCCGGAGCUCAACUUCGGAACUGCCUCUGAUACAGCACGUCUUGAGUCCGGAAGAGGUGGGUGGAAUUCCUAGUGUAGAGGUGAAAUUCGUAGAUAUUAGGAAGAACACCGGUGGCGAAGGCGGCCCACUGGUCCGGUACUGACGCUGAGGUGCGAAAGCGUGGGGAGCAAACAGG